rnacentral:RNase_P_RNA from 1 species
ACGGUAAAUCAGACCGCCGCGGCGCAGAGACGUAGCAACGUUUCCAGCAUCGAGGAAAGUCCGGGCUCCGCAGGGCAUGAUGCCGGGCAACACCCGGGCAAGGCGCGUACAAAUACGCGCCCUAACAGACAGCGCAACAGAAAGUAAACCGCCGGUCGCUUCCAGCGCAGGAAGCGACCGGUAAGGGUGAAAUGGCGCGGUAAGAGCGCACCGCGGAACCGGCAACGGUUCCGGCAAGGCAAGCCUCAUUAGGAGCAAAGUCAAACAGCGUACAUAUCCGUCUAAACGCUUGUUAUAGACGGAUAUGCGGAUUGCCCGUCCGUUAAACGCGGGUAGACUGCUGGAGAUCAUUCGCAAGGGUGAUGCCAGAUAGAUGGCGGUGUAAUACCGGUUCGCCGGUACUAACAGAACUCGGCUUAUGAUUUACCGUUUUU